CAGCCCCAGUGCUCUGUGUAGGUGGUGACGUGGGAGGGGGUGAAAUGCAACCUUUAUUUUCCUGACUGCCUGUCAUCCAAUUCCCCGUUUUCCUCCGACUUUCAUGAGUGAUGAGGUCAUCCCGGCGCAGGAAAAUCGAACUCCUAUUUUUCAGACCCAAUAAAGGCCGGCAUUGUGUGUCUGCGUAAACAGAGAGGCCAGACGGGCAGGGCGGCGGGGACUCAAGUGGCCCGCCCCCUGGCGGUCGCACGAGACAGUCGUGGCCCGCGCUCCACCGCCCGGAACAACGGCAGGGAGGCGGAGAGGGUGCGUGCGAAAAUGACGCACAGAUCCAUUACUGCGCGCCGCAGGGGAGAGGACGCUGCAGGGAGCUGAUGCCUGCCACAUUUCAGCCCCGCGGGCUGGCCGCGGCGUCAUCCAGCCUACAAGCAGCACGACGUGGGGAGUGGGAGGAAGCCUCCAGAGCCGGCUCUCUACAGGACUCCUUCCCCGGCCUGCCCCCCAACGACUCGCUCCCGCCCAUUCCGUACCUCCGUGGAAGCCUUAGUGUUUAAACAGAGGGGGCUCCAAACGCAAACAAUGAUCAGGGGCUCUCCUGUGGAUGCUGAGUGCACGCGGGCCGCGUACGCCUACCCUUCCAGGGUUUGACUGCUUCUUGACAAAGGUCUCCAGGCUAGCUUCCCCGAGGGGCUGCAUUACUCAGUCCUUGCUCAGACAAUUGUUGCUGUAGAUAGCCGCACCCUCCCUCCACCCCCGUCCAAACGCGGCUGGGAACGGAUUUACAGCAGUCCGUCUGAUCGCAGUAGAUGGAAGGCCUUGGAGAGACGGAGUGUGCUCCAUCCAGCCCCUGUCGUGCUAGACAACGGGGCAUUCCCAGGCGCGUUUGCCCCAGUGGGUGCAAGUCAUCUCCCGUAUAUGCAGAAAUGUCCCCACGUAGGAUUUGCGUGGAAGUUGUUAAAUUGUUAUCAGUUUUCGAAAGAUGCUACAGAAAAAAAGGCACAAUCUGAUAGUGCACAACCGCCUCAGAAACACCAAUCAAAUCAGAGUUCUGGGGGGAAAUGUAGCCCUGCUCGUCUUAGAGAUGUAGAUAGCAGAUUUUCUAUUAUAUAUGUAUUUAUAUCGUUUCCCUUAAUUUUUGCUUUUCUCUUUUUUACACUUUCUUCAAUGAGCGUGUACUAUAUUUAGAGAGCCACAGAAUUUUAACAGUAGCUUAAAUGUACAUUAGGUAUAUUUAUAGAAUUAAUGUAUUGUUUGACAUAAAAGGAUUUUGAACUAAA